UGUAAAAACUCCAACCGUCCAGAUCUGGUCAUGUUGUGAGGCAGAGAUUUUGGUCUUAAGCUCCGCCUCCCCGGCUGUUUUUAGCAUCCUUGUUUUCCUACAGAGUGCCACUAAGGGAAUGUACAAAUGGACCGGCAGCCUUUCUGUAGAACCACCCUCCAGAACGGCAGGUCCAGCCUCCCUUAGACACACCCGGCUCACCACAGCUGGUGGGCCCUGCUUUAUGACCUGUGGUUACCUAGGCAUUCAUAAGGGAGGAAGUGACAGCUAAUGAUACUAAACCUUUCUGGGCCUAAGUAGGGGAGAGGACAGGUUGGUGGGCUCCAUUAGAGCUUCCCGGGCACUGGUUCCUUAGAAAAUCAAGGGGGGGCUGGGUUGAAAGAACAUCUCCCAGGAUGUCCACGACCUUACCACCUCCAAGGGAGCCAGAAGCAUCAUACCAGCACCUCCUUGAAUCUGGGACCUCUUUUGGAUAUGGGAGGUCUUGGCCAGUUUUGCUUCUGGCAGGUCACAUCCUCAUCUCUUCUUGCUUGCUGCUGACGGAAGCUGACAGCAUUAAUAUCUCUGUCAUGCCGGAUCCAUGGUUACCUCUGGAAGGAACGGAAGUCAAAAUCAUUCCAGAAGGAAACAUAGAAGAUGUUUUUGCCUGCUGCUGGUUCCGAAGGGAAAUGUCCAACCACAGUCUCAUCUUCAUCUAUGAACUGCCACCAGAGUCCAAAUACCAUUAUGGAAAAUUUUAUACCGGGCGUGAGACUAUAGGAUUGCAGUGCUCCCUCCACAUCACUGGUCUAACGAUGGAGGAUGAGGACUUAUACCUACUCCACAAGCAAAGAUAUGAGGAGUUUCCAUCUGAAUAUGGGGACACAUUCUUAAUGAUCAGACAUAAAGUAGAAGAAGAAGAAGAAGAAGAUCAUCAUGCAACAUCAAAUAAAGUCGAGGCAUCUGACGUGAUUAAACUAAUUCUUAUUGUCGGCUGUCUGGUAGGACUUGCUGUGCUGGUUGGGUUUAUUGCUUACCACACUAGCACACGUUCUGCAGGAAGUAGUGAUAUAUUACCGGGAGGUCCCAUUCGGUAUAUCAGAGCUGGUUCAGGAGCUGGAUAAGCACCCAGUAUUCUGUAGGAGAGCGAGUGAGCAGACAGUCAGAAGACCAGGGAUAGGCUGGUCUAAGUAAGUACGAGUUUGGGAAGAUGGGGAAAGAAGCAUCAAACAAAUCCACAGACCAUCUACAUGACCAGCUCCAGAUGCCCUCUACAUGGAGAUCACGACAAAAUAAUCACAGACAUUCUCAUGGCUUCAAAGCACCAACGGGGAAACUUACCCAGAACCCCAGGAGACAAAUGGAUCAUCCUGUCUGCUAACAAAAUAAAAGUUUCCAGUGCCCACUUCUAGCUGUAUUC
rnacentral:lncRNA from 1 species